GACGAACGCUGGCGGCGUGCCUAACACAUGCAAGUCGAACGGAAAGGCCCUGCUCUUGCUGGGUGCUCGAGUGGCGAACGGGGGAGUAACACGCGAGUAACCUGCCCUUGACUUUCGGAUAACUUCAGGAAACUCGGGCUAAUACCCGAUAGGAUCUCCUGCAGCAUGGGGGGGGUUGGUAAGAUGCGGCGGUUGGGGAUGUACUCGCGGCUUAUCAGCUUGUUGGUGGGGUAGUGGCUUACCAAGGCUUUGACGGGUAGCCGGCCUGAGAGGGUGACCGGCCACAUUGGGACUGGGAUACGGCCCAGAGUCAUACGGGAGGCAGCAGUGGGGAAUAUUGCACAAUGGGCGGAGGCAUGAUGGAGCAACGCCGCGUGCGGGAGGACGGCCUUCGGGUUGUAAACCGCUUUCGCCUGUGACGAAGCGUGAGUGACGGUAAUGGGUAAAGAAGCACCGGCUAACUACGU
rnacentral:rRNA from 1 species